rnacentral:lncRNA from 1 species
CUCGACGGUUCCCGCGUCGCCUCACGCAACAGGGCAAAAUAAAGCCCAAAAUCAGCCGAACCAACCAAAGCCCGCGUGGCGCGGGCCUGCGACGUUCCGGGAACGUGAGUUCGGCCGGGCGGUGCGGCGGUGCCCUUCGUUCCUUAUCCCCCCGCCGCACGGCGGCCUUGUGCCCUGGCCCCUAUGCCACCAUGUGCUCGAGCUAAACAACCACGCAAACACUUUCCCUCACCUAACCAUUUGCC